rnacentral:rRNA from 1 species
GAUGAACGCUAGCGGCAGGCUUAAUACAUGCAAGUCGUGGGGCAGCAUGAGUGUAGCAAUACAUUUGAUGGCGACCGGCAAACGGGUGCGGAACACGUACACAACCUUCCUAUAAGUGGGGAAUAGCCCAGAGAAAUUUGGAUUAAUACCCCGUAACAUAAUGAUGUGGCAUCACAUUAUUAUCAUAGCUUCGGCGCUUAUUGAUGGGUGUGCGGCUGAUUAGAUAGUUGGCGGGGUAACGGCCCACCAAGUCUACGAUCAGUAGCUGAUGUGAGAGCAUGAUCAGCCACACGGGCACUGAGACACGGGCCCGACUCCUACGGGAGGCAGCAGUAAGGAAUAUUGGUCAAUGGACGCAAGUCUGAACCAGCCAUGCCGCGUGAAGGAUUAAGGUCCUCUGGAUUGUAAACUUCUUUUAUCUGGGACGAAAAAAGGCGAUUCUUCGUCACUUGACGGUACCAGAUGAAUAAGCACCGGCUAACUACGUGCCAGCCGCCGCAGUAAUAC